rnacentral:rRNA from 1 species
UACGUAGGCAGCGAGCGUUGUUCGGAGUUACUGGGCGUAAAGGGUGUGUAGGCGGUUUUCUAAGUUUGGUGUGAAAUCUCCCGGCUUAACCGGGAGGGUGCGCCGAAAACUGGGAGACUAGAGUGCGGGAUGGGAGAGUAGAAUUCCUGGUGUAGCGGUGAAAUGCGUAGAUAUCAGGAGGAACACCGGUGGUGUAGACGGCUUUCUGGACCGUAACUGACGCUGAGACACGAAAGCGUGGGUAGCAAACAGG